GACGACUGAAGCGGGGCGGAGACGCAAGAUGGCGGCUGUGGUGCUGGCGGCGACGCGGUUGCUGCGGGGCUCGGGUUCUUGGGGCUGUUCGCGGCUGAGGUUUGGACCUCCUGCGUACAGACGGUUUAGUAGUGGGGGUGCCUAUCCCAACAUCCCCCUCUCUUCUCCCUUACCUGGAGUACCCAAGCCUGUUUUUGCUACAGUUGAUGGACAGGAAAAGUUUGAAACCAAAGUAACCACAUUGGAUAAUGGGCUUCGCGUGGCAUCUCAGAAUAAGUUUGGACAGUUUUGUACAGUAGGAAUUCUUAUCAAUUCAGGAUCGAGAUAUGAAGCGAAAUACCUUAGUGGAAUUGCUCACUUUUUGGAAAAAUUGGCAUUUUCGUCUACUGCUCGAUUUGACAGCAAAGAUGAAAUUCUGCUUACGUUGGAAAAGCAUGGGGGUAUCUGUGACUGCCAGACAUCAAGAGACACCACCAUGUAUGCUGUGUCUGCUGAUAGCAAAGGCUUGGACACGGUGGUUGGCUUACUGGCCGAUGUGGUUCUGCAGCCCCGGCUAACAGAUGAAGAAGUCGAGAUGACGCGGAUGGCGGUCCAGUUUGAGCUGGAGGACCUGAACCUGCGGCCUGACCCAGAGCCACUUCUCACCGAGAUGAUUCAUGAAGUAAAAUGUCAAACUCGAGAAUGCCCCCGCAUCUCGAACAGUGGUCCUCGGGACACCAGGGGUGGUGGGGAGGGUGCCUCCGUGAUGUUGUCCUUGCAGGUUAUGGAUAUAUACAGAACAUUUUUUUGUUUUUUGAGAUGAGGUUUCUCCACAUUGCCUACACUGGUCUUGCACUCCUGGGCUCAGCUCAGGUGAUCCUCCUGCCUCUGCCUCCCAAGUAGCUGGGAUUACAGGCGUGAGUCACCGCACUCAGCUUAGAACAUUCUUGAUUUCUGAGUCUGCUGUUUAUACAAUGUUCAUAUUUUCCAGUUUUUAUAGUAACUAGGUCUUUACUACUAAACACAAUUAAUCUUAGGCUUUUUGUGAAUUUGUAUUCUGGAGAGGCAGAUUUUACUCUUUUUAUAAAUACGCACACAGCUGCUAUUGCCAGACUGCAAGUAAAAUAUCAGCUUGCGUCGGAUUUUCCCAGGGCUGGCUGCAGAUGGGCGCUGGUGCUGCUUGUUGGAGGAAGCCUG
rnacentral:sRNA from 1 species